AUGGGUUCCAAUUUCCAAGUUUCGUUGGUUGCCGAACCUUGAUUUUUGUGUUUUACAGUGCUUUACCAUGGUCUAAGAUUAGAUAAGAUAGUUGUAAUCUAUGGCUGGUCUCUGGCUCUACUGGCGCUCUAAACAUCUCACGUGGAAACGCCAUUAGUGACCUGGCGCCAAAACUAAAACUGAUUAAAAGUCGUCAGAACGAUCACGUUUUGAUUAAAGGUCAUUUCUACCUGCUCGAGUUCUCUAUAAUUAAUAUACUAAGGAUGCAGCAAGAGUAGCAGCAAUGAAUGGUGGUGAGGCCAAGUGAACAUACAUAGCUGAAUUUUUUGGAGAAAAUGAUUGGAACAAAACUGUGGGGUAACACAAUAUAGAUGAAGAGAAUAUUAUUGAGAAUAUGGUAGGUAUCGCUACUUAAUAUAUGAGCACUUUCAACUUGUAGGCUACAUUUGGUUGCCACAGCUGUUUAACCAAAACCAGGGCACAUCGUGGAAUAUAUAGCAAAGAAAUAUUUAGUAUAGAAAAUUAAACGGAGACGCGAAAAACAUUAAAUGGUGAACUAUGAUAAUAGUACUGCAAACAAGUUUAACUAAUUUUUUCUGGUGUUUUGCAAUUUUUUGAUAUUUCAGUCUGAACAAAACAUUAAGGUGAAAGAUGUGAGGCUAAUUCACUAAAGAAACUAAGAAAAGGGGAAAAUGGGAUGAGAGGGUGCCAUAACAUAACAGAUGGUUACAAUCUUGGAAGAUAAUCAGGUCGUUAUUUGCAAAACAGCCCGAAUGUCUUCAAUUUUAAAAUAAAAAAACAAAAACAAAAUUGCACCGACUUAACACACAGUCGAGCACGUAUCAUCAGAAGAGAUUACAAGCUUGGAAGAUGGCCAUGAUGGCAGCACUCAAACCACCAGCGAUGGGUACUGUAACCGCCCAGGCAAAGAUGAUAUUUCGGAAGAGAGCCCAAU
rnacentral:lncRNA from 1 species